rnacentral:antisense_RNA from 1 species
UUGUGAGGAAGCCUAGGCCACAUGGAGAGGCCACAUAGAUGUGUUCCAGGCAGCAGCCCCAGCAAAGGUCUCAAUCAACCACCAUAUGUGUGAGUGAUGGAACCUUCAGAUAAUUUUGCUUCCCAGACUUCAAGUCUUCCAGCUGGGGUCCAAGACAUAACAAGGCAGAGACAAGCCCUCCUGGAAUUCCCUACCCACAGAAACUUGAAAGCAGUGUAAAUGGCUCUUAUCUGAACCACAAUGAAUUCACAUAUUCAAGUUGGCUUCUUCGGAAAUUUCAGGCCACAAAUGGCAGUGAUGCGACCAGGAGCAGUAACACGUGCCACUUCCAUCUGGACAGAAGGAAUCCAGGUCAAGGCUGACGGGAGGAGCAGGAGCCAUUAAUGAGAGCAGACCUCAGAAGCCAACAGAGGUGAGAGGAGCACCAUCCACAGCCCCAUCCUCUGAAUGCUGUGGGAAGAAGUCCACAAAAUACCACCCCUUGGAGUGAGUCAGUAGCAGAGCCCUUGCUGCUGUCUGCAAAUACCCCAUCAAAACAUGUUUGGGGUGAUUCUUGGACCUGGUUUCAAUUUCUUUUCUGCCAGUCAGCAGUUGUGCUUGACUCACAAUUUGUUGCCAUCUCUUGAAUUAAACUCAGGAAAUAGGAUAAAGAUCAGAACCACAUUG